rnacentral:rRNA from 1 species
UACGGGGGGGGCAAGCGUUGUUCGGAAUUACUGGGCGUAAAGGGCUCGUAGGUGGCCAAUUAAGUCAGGCGUGAAAUCCCCAGGCUCAACUUGGGAACUGCGUCUGAUACUGGUUGGCUUGAAUUCGGGAGAGGGAUGCAGAAUUCCAGGUGUAGCGGUGAAAUGCGUAGAUAUCUGGAGGAACACCGAUGGCGAAGGCAGGUCUCUGGGCCACUACUGACGCUGAGAAGCGAAAAGCAUGGGGAGCGAACAGGA